rnacentral:rRNA from 1 species
UACAGAGACUGCAAGCGUUAUUCGGAUUCACUGGGCGUAAAGGGUGCGCAGGCGGCCAAGUGUGUCAGGUGUGAAAUCCCGAGGCUUAACCUCGGAACUGCGCCUGAAACUACUUGGCUAGAGUACUGGAGAGGGUAACGGAAUUCACGGUGUAGCAGUGAGAUGCGUAGAUAUCGUGAGGAACACCAGAGGCGAAGGCGGUUACCUGGACAGUUACUGACGCUCAGGCAACGAAAGCGUGGGGAGCAAAAGGG